rnacentral:tmRNA from 1 species
GGGGGCGACCUGGUUUCGACGUGGUCGGGGGACCGUUGGCUGCAUGCCGAGAUUCCACCCAUCUCGUUAAUCGGUGGAAAACCAAUAAGUGACGAAGCUAACUUCGCACUGGCUGCCUAACUAAGCAGCCCGUCCCCGGAACGGGUGGCCACCGGACCGGACCAAUGGGGGCGCCAUUUUUCGGAGGCUAGCCUGAAGGCAGGUCCCUGGCUCAAGGCGAAACAAACGUGGGACUCAGCCCCGCGGGCGGCGUGUUUCCUGGCCUCCCGCAGGGUGAAUUCAACAGGGGACUAAGCAUGUAGACGCCGGCGGGGUACCGGUUACGGACGCGGGUUCGAUUCCCGCCGCCUCCACCA